UACGUAGGGUGCAAGCGUUUGUCCGGAAUUAUUGGGCGUAAAGAGCUCGUAGGCGGUCUGUCGCGUCGGCUGUGAAAACUCGGGGCUCAACCCCGAGCCUGCAGUCGAUACGGGCAGACUAGAGUGCUGUAGGGAGACUGGAAUUCCUGGUGUAGCGGUGAAAUGCGCAGAUAUCAGGAGGAACACCGGUGGCGAAGGCGGGUCUCUGGGGCAGUAACUGACGCUGAGGAGCGAAAGCGUGGGGAGCGAACAGG
rnacentral:rRNA from 1 species